GUGGGGAAUCUUCCGCAAUGGACGAAAGUCUGACGGAGCAACGCCGCGUGAGUGAUGAAGGUCUUCGGAUUGUAAAGCUCUGUUAAUCGGGACGAAAGAGCCUAGUGUGAAUAAUGCUAGGAAGUGACGGUACCGGAAUAGAAAGCCACGGCUAACUACGUGCCAGCAGCCGCGGUAAUACGUAGGUGGCAAGCGUUGUCCGGAAUUAUUGGGCGUAAAGCGCGCGCAGGCGGAUCUGCCAGUCUGUCUUAAAAGUUCGGGGCUUAACCCCGUGAUGGGAUGGAAACUACAGAUCUAGAGUAUCGGAGAGGAAAGUGGAAUUCCUAGUGUAGCGGUGAAAUGCGUAGAUAUUAGGAAGAACACCAGUGGCGAAGGCGACUUUCUGGACGAAAACUGACGCUGAGGCGCGAAAGCCAGGGGAGCGAACGGGAUUAGAUACCCGUGUAGUC
rnacentral:rRNA from 1 species